rnacentral:rRNA from 1 species
GGGUUGUGAGGUUAAGCGACUAAGCGUACACGGUGGAUGCCAUGCCAGUCAGAGGCGAUGAAGGACGUGCUAAUCUGGGAUAAGCGGCGGUAAGGGGAGUUG